UAACUUUGGUUGGUCGCCGGCUUCUUAGAGAGACUAUCAACUCAAGUUGAUGGAAGUUUGAGGCAAUAACAGGUCUGUGAUGCCCUUAGAUGUUCUGGGCCGCACGCGCGCUACACUGACAGAGCCAACGAGUUCUUCACCUUGUUCGAAAGAAUUGGGUAAUCUUGUUAAACUCUGUCGUGCUGGGGAUAAAGCAUUGCAAUUAUUGCUUUUCAACGAGGAAUGCCUAGUAAGCGCGUGUCAUCAGCAUGCGUUGAUUACGUCCCUGACCUUUGUACACACCGCCCGUCGCUACUACCGAUUGAAUGGCUC
rnacentral:rRNA from 1 species